AUACUUAUCUGGACGGGGUCAAUAGGCUGGUGACCGCCAUUGCACACUCCGGAGGGGUGCCUGCCUAAGGUCAGCCCAAGUGGUCGAGCCUACGUCAUAAUUUGUGACAGUGGGGCCUGUGUUAAACGCCACCCCUAC
rfam:Capsicum annuum cultivar Zunla-1 chromosome 5, whole genome shotgun sequence